rnacentral:tRNA from 1 species
GGGAUAUUAGUUAAAUUAUAACAUCUGGGUUGCAGUCAGAAAUUGAUUAGUCAUAUCUUA